rnacentral:rRNA from 1 species
UACAGAGGGGGCAAGCGUUGUUCGGAAUUACUGGGCGUAAAGGGCGCGUAGGCGGCCUGUUAAGUCGAACGUGAAAUCCCCGGGCUCAACCCGGGAACUGCGUCCGAUACUGGCAGGCUUGAAUUCGGGAGAGGGAUGUGGAAUUCCUGGUGUAGCGGUGAAAUGCGUAGAUAUCUGGAGGAACACCGGUGGCGAAGGCGGCGUUCUGGACUGCAACUGACACUGAUAAACGAAAGCCAGGGGAGCAAACGGG